rnacentral:rRNA from 1 species
UACGGAGGGAGCUAGCGUUGUUCGGAUUUACUGGGCGUAAAGCGCACGUAGGCGGCGCAGCAAGUCAGGGGUGAAAUCCCGGAGCUCAACUCCGGAACUGCCCUUGAAACUGCAGUGCUAGAAUCCUGGAGAGGCGAGUGGAAUUCCGAGUGUAGAGGUGAAAUUCGUAGAUAUUCGGAAGAACACCAGUGGCGAAGGCGACUCGCUGGACAGGUAUUGACGCUGAGGUGCGAAAGCGUGGGGAGCAAACAGG